rnacentral:rRNA from 1 species
AUACGGAGGAUGCGAGCGUUAUCCGGAUUUAUUGGGUUUAAAGGGUGCGUAGGCGGUUUGCUAAGCGGGAGGUGAAAUGCCGGCGCUCAACGUCGGAAGUGCCUCCCGAACUGGUGGACUGGAAUGACUCUGCCGUGGGAGGAAUGUGUAGUGUAGCGGUGAAAUGCUUAGAGAUUACACAGAACACCGAUUGCGAAGGCAUCUCACGAAGGGUUGAUUGACGCUGAGGCACGAAAGCGUGGGGAUCAAACAGGAUUAGAUACCCUGGUAGUCCACGCAGUAAACGAUGAUCACUAGCUGUUUGCGAUACACUGUAAGCGGCACAGCGAAAGCGUUAAGUGAUCCACCUGGGGAGUACGCCGGCAACGGUGAAACUCAAAUGAAUUGGCGGGG